AUGGGGACGCUGCUUCCGUGUCACCCUACCCUUACCCUCCUCCCCCUCCUCUUCGCCGCCGCCAUCGUCGGCGUGCGUUGCGCGCCGGUGUACAGGCCGGAGUACCUGGUGGACGGGAACCAGCUGGUAAACAUGCAGUACCACAUGGGCCCCGUCGUGUCAGGCGCGCCGACCAACCUGUUCCUCAUCUGGUACGGCCGGUGGGAGGCCCCGGCGCAGGCUGUGCUCCGCGACUUCCUCGCCUCCCUCUCCGCUCCGGCGCCGUUCCCCGCCGUCUCCGACUGGUGGGCCCGCACGCCGCGGCUCUACACGGACCAAUCCGGCGCCAAUGUCACCGCCACAUUCGCCAUCGCCGGGGAGCACUCCGACGCCGGGUACUCCCACGGCGCCUCCCUGAAGCGGAUCGACAUGCAGUCCAUCAUCCGCACCGCCGUGGUCGCGUACCCGGACCCUCUGCCGCUCGACCCGUACAACGGCGUGUACCUGGUGCUCUCCUCACCGGACGUGCAGGUGGAGGAGUUCUGCCGCGCCAUGUGCGGCUUCCACUACUUCACCUUCGCGUCCGUGGUCGGGGUCACCGUCCCGUACGCGUGGGUCGGGAACAGCGGCUCGCAGUGCCCAGGGAGGUGUGCGUAUCCGUUCGCCGCGCCGGAGUACGGCGCCAGCGGGCAGGGGGUGCUGCGGCCGCCGAACGGCGACCCCGGGGUGGACGGGAUGGUGAUCGUGCUGGGGCACGAGCUUGCGGAGCUGGCCACCAACCCGCUGGUGAACGCGUGGUACGCCGGUGACACGCCAACGGCGCCCACGGAGAUCGCCGACCUCUGUCUCGGGGUCUACGGCGACGGCGGUGGAGCAGGCGGGUUCGUCGGGAAUGUCUCCCACGCAGCCGACGGCAGCUCCUACAACGUGAACGGCGUCAACGGUCGGCGGUUCCUGGUGCAGUGGCUCUGGAACCCCGUCCUCGGCGCGUGCUACGGACCCAACUCCAGCAACUGA
rnacentral:rRNA from 1 species